ACAUCUCCACAUCAGGCAGCCCCGUGGACCGGGAGACUCCCAACAUCUGGGGGCUGUAUUGAUUUCCAGGGGAGGGGGGGGCAGGGGGAGUAAAUGUCUCCCCGGUGAGCUAUUCAGAGCAGCUACUUCCGCAUUCAGCCAAUCUUUCAGCCGUGAUUGUCACGCUUGUGUUUUGAUGGCAGGGUGCAGUAGCCGCUUGUCUUACACAGGAGUAACACAAGCAAGCACUUGAAUAUAUCAAUACCAUACCCCCAAACCCCCCCUUUGAGCCAGAGGCUUUGGCUGGUACCCACAUCAAGGGGAGAUUGUUAACGUGAGGACAAGUUGCAGGGAAAGCAUCGUAAACACCAAACUUUUUAGUCUGUCAACAUCUAGUCAAUAGUGGAAAUCACUGACAGAAAGAGCUGUUCUGCCUCGAAACGCUUGACGCGCUAUCGUGUAACACGUUCAGAUGAUGCUGAUGAUGCUGUACACCGCCAGGCAUAAACCCCUUUGCACCCUACGGGGCUUGAUGUUCCCCUGCAACGGCACAGAAACACCACACGGCUCACCUGUUGUAUUCUGAGCUCCCGUUGGGGGUGUUAAGCUUUCUUAAAUGUUUGAGUCAAAAUCAAAUCGAUCACAGUAAGAAUUUUAGGGUGACAAUAGUAAAGAAGCGCUGUCCUGCUUCAAAGUCUUAAUCUAUACCUGCAGCCUCAUUUUGUUUUGAACAAUUUUCAGCUGCUAUUUGACAAAUUGAUAGCAAGAAAGUGAGUACUGUGUGUUUUAUUCAGUUUCAUGAGAUACACCACAAGUUUCCUUUCCACCUGACAGACUCAUUUACAUCACAAAUAGAUAAUUUUGCGAUUACAACAAAAUGACACAUUUAUAAGUUUGGUUUAAACACGAAUAUGUGUAAUUCAACAUAAAGAAUGCAUCAUUUGUAUCCUUUAUUACACACUCAGGACAAAACAUGGAUUAUUAAAAAUGUGACAUCUUCUAAACUUGUUUUUGUCCAACCAACAAUAUAUAAACACCAAAGUAUCCAGCUAACUGUGACACGGAACAAACAAAUGCGAAAGCAAAACAUUGCAAUUUUUGAAACAUUAUGAACUGAUUAUCAGAUAAAUUGUACAUUAGACACCUGCACACCUGCCUUUAACAUGUCAAAGGCCCCAAGUCAUGAGACCAGACCUGAAACGGAUUUCUUCAAAGUGCAUCUGCAGGCAACAGAGUCGCUGGCUGAGGGCUAAACAGCAAAGAGACAAAAAUGACAGGGAUUUCACCAUUGAAUCCCUUUAGCAGGCCACUGACACAUGAAUGAGGGCAACGCGAGAGAAGAGAGAGAGCGAGGGAGGGAGAGAGAGGAAGGGAGAGAGAGAGAGAGAAAAAGAAGAGCAGACAACCAAUUUGGGAGUAAUGCAACUAAAAACUGACAAGUGUAAUUUCAUCCAUCUGGGCCGAUGUGUAAAAAGCGCUGCUCCGAACAUUCCCCAUGAUUCCCCCUGAUUGAUCUUCCCCUGGUCUGAAACACCUAUUAUUAGCCACGAGCCUAAUAGCACCAGGAUGGCUCAGCGCUCUCCCAGGGGCCAAUUCUCCGGUCAUCUGCCCCUCACUCACCACAGCUGUGGAAACCAACCAGGGAGAGGGAGGACUUGGGGGGGUGUAGCUGCCAAGAGGGGAUGGAGGCGUACCUAUUAGGUGGGGGGGGGGGGAGGUUAGGGCGAUGGAGCGAGGUUGAGGAGAGAGGAAGAGAGGGGUAGAGUGGGUAUGAAGAGGAAUAUGGAGAGGAGAGUAGGGGACGCGAUGGAGGAGAGAUGGAGACCAGUGGAUGGACAUGCAAUGGGAGGGAGGGGGCAGUGGGAGGAAGGGGGAGAAGGGGAGGGGGGGGGAGACAAAAGAGAUCAAAAAGUUAUUCAUGAGCAUUUCCUGAAAGAAAAAAAAAGGAGAAAAUCCAUUUUACCUUCUGCUGAUUGAAAUGAUUGUUAAAAACAUUACAUCCACUUUGUGCUCAUUUUAAUUACUCAGGAGGAAAAGGUUGUCUCCAGGACGUGAUGCUCAUCCAUCCCCAGCUGAGGCGGCUGCUAACGACAGGCCGGCAACACUCCAGAGGAAGCUUGGCACGAUUAAGCUUGUUUGAAUUAAAUGAAAAAUUUAAAUGAUUUGAAAACUGCAGGUCGUAAAGUAGUUUUCAGGAAUAAUAAUGACGCAAACAUUUUUUUUUUACUUUAAACAUCUUAAUUGUUUGAUUUGAAACAUCGUAUUGCUUCAAUUAACUUUGAGUUUCUUUCAUCAAGCCCAUUUUAGAAAAUCAGAAUUGACCUUUAACAGUAAUUUAUGCAGUCCCCAUUUUUACCAUUUAAAAAUAGUAUAAAACAUUUAGGAAAUGGUCUGGACCCACUCAAAUUGUGUUUAAGUGAAUAUUACCAUUGGGGAACACAUUUGAAAUAAUAUCAUGUAGAUUUUUUAAUUGUGCACAAUUUUACUUAACAUUCAUCUGCAACUGUGUUGUGAAAGUUAUCACAUUUUAACAUACUGUUAAUAAAUUCUAAUUUGGGGAACACAUUUCAGUUGUCACAUUUUUCAUGAAAAUCUGAUUGACAAAAAACAGCUUAGUUUGAUGGAAUAUUCAAGGUUGAACCAACUUAGAGUGAAGGUGGGCACGUUGAGGCUCCUCAACCCAGUGCUGCCAUGGGGACGCUCAAGGUUACACGCCAACAAUAAGAAGGUUUGCAACACAAAAAGUGAGGGAGAAAUGUUGAUUGCAGACUGGCUCUUUUGGGGGAUUUUGCGAUGGAAUAAGGUCAGAAGUUGUCUGUUAAUCACCCCUUCAGUCUCUUUGAUUGAGUGAGCCCUCAGGUGAGGCGUAAUGCAUUUUCAAGGGCAAUGAUGGCAAUAAUUGGCUACCUUCACUUCACUAAAAUGGACAAAGUCCUGAAAAAAUCUCCCCACUUGAAUUUGACAGUUCAGAGCAAAUGAAAAUAAAGGCUCUGAGGGCUUUUCAGUCAACAAAUUAAUAAGUAUGAUAUUAUAAAGCUGGCUAUGGACACGAUCUCUUGGCCAAAUCAUUACGCUGAUCUGUGAUCUGCAGUUUGUAAAGUAAGAGGACCCUGAACUGCUGUGAUACAUUUGUUUUGCAGCAGGAUUCUAUUAAAAAAACAAUUUUUUAUUAAAAAUAAAAGUGUAUUAUAAAGGCUGAAGUGAUGUUCGUAUGGUCUAGUCACGAUUAUACACAAUCAUGCUGCAGGACACAGAAUUGUUGUGGGCCAUCAAAUCGAUGAAAUCCUUCAUUAUCGGGUUUUUUUGACGGAAAAAUAUAUUUUUUGACAUUUAAAAAAGGUGGAUGAUUAUUUCUUAGGUUUUGAGCUGAGACAGACCUUUUAGAAAUGUCUUUCCUCUGCAUGUACAGCCGGAUGUAGUCAACUUUGCUUCAGUUUAGUACUUUUUUUGUAGUUCAUAUUGGAGAUGUUAGUGCUCCGUGAUCAGUUCAUUCUGACAUACUUGUUUUCUAAACCUUUUACAAUAAUUCUGUAAUAAUUGCUAUUCUUAAAAUUAAUUUUUACAUUCUCCCGUUUAACCUUGUUUAUAUUCUGGUGUUUUUAUGGAAUUAUUUUAAGGAUUAGCUGCAGUGUAAUAAAGAAAGAAACAAUCUGGCGAUGAAUGUAAUGAUGAUGAUGAUGAUGAUGAUGAUGAUGAUAAUAGCAGCAACAGCAACAUUAGAAGCACCAAAAUAAACAUCAAGAGCCGGUAAUAAUAAUAGUAAUAUCAGUAGGGGUGAUGGUCCAGGUAAAAGAUGGAAGGAAAACAUGGCUUAAUUUUUUUAAUUUUUUAUACAAGUCCAAGUCUAUUGUUUUCUCAGAAUCUUGCGAGAGCAACAUUGUGUUGUUAGAAUUGACUUGUUUCACAAGGGAAACCUUUUGAGAGGCCUUUAGCAGGGAAAUGUCUUUCACUGGACAUUCAUCAGCCUGAAGAGGAACGUUCCCUUCUUUGCGAUUAUCUUUAAUGCAAAAUAACCAGAAAUGAAUGUGGAGACUCUGGAUCCGAACAUUUGAUUGCAGGUGUACUCUUGGUAAAAAAAAAAUAAUAAAUCAAAACGUAGACUUUGCAUAAAUGCUCUCUGUUAAUCCAACUUUCUGUGAGCAAGAAGGCAACUCCUUGAAGGAGGGCAGGGAGCAAAGCCGAACCAAAGCCCGGCCUGCUAUGCAGUUUCAGGUAGGAGUGUCCCAGGGUGCAGCAGACAAAGGUCCACAGCUUUCACCUGACCAACUGCUGCCACCCAACACAGCUCAUGAGAACACGAGCAGCAUCUCGUCCGCCACAUCUUACCUCACCAGGUGUGACUCCCCUUUCUCUACCCUUGUUUUCCACUUCGCUUCACACCGCGCUCUUAAAUUUCAAGCUCUUUUAUUUUGCAGUCAGCAUCGGCUAUUGUGUGCAGCACUUCCUCCAGUGGGGCAUUCAUUGUUGCCUGAGAGCCCGACACACACACACACACACACACACACACACACACACACACACAGGUCACUACUUUAUUAGUUGUUAAUGUAUGUAUUGAGGAUGUGUGUGUGUGUGUGUGUGUGUGUGUGUGUGUGUGUGUGUGUGUGUGUGUGUGUGUGUGUGUGUGUGUGUGUGUGGACGGAGGGGGGGGGGGGG
ensembl:lncRNA